rnacentral:ncRNA from 2 species
AACAUAGCUCAUCCAUAGGAAACAGACGUGACUGCUAGCAGGCAGCGGAUGUUUCCUAUGAGAGGAGCGGACAAACAUGAGUAUGCAGGACGAUAGUCCGGAAUACGAAUGUUUGUUACGAUUUCGAGAGUGCGCAGCACGGAGAAAACGUAUAUGUU